AGCAGCCGCGGUAAUUCCAGCUCCAAUAGCGUAUAUUAAAGUUGUUGCAGUUAAAAAGCUCGUAGUUGAAUUUCGGGAUCAAAUUGUUGGUCGUGCCUCGGUACGCACUGGUAUUAUUGGUUCCUACCUUCUGAAGAACCGCGAUGUCAUUAAUUUGGUGUCGUGGGGAAUCAGGACUGUUACUUUGAAAAAUUAGAGUGUUUAAAGCAGGCUUACGCUUGAAUACAUUAGCAUGGAAUAAUGAAAUAGGACGUUUGAUUCUAUUUUGUUGGUUUCUAGGAUUGACGUAAUGAUUAAUGGGGAUAGUUGGGGGCAUUAGUAUUCAAUUGUCAGAGGUGAAAUUCUUGGAUUUAUUGAAGACUAACUACUGCGAAAGCAUUUGCCAAGGAUGUUUUCAUUAAUCAAGAACGAAAGUUAGGGGAUCGAAGACGAUCAGAUACCUUCGUAGUCUUAACCAUAAACUAUGCCGACUAGGGAUCGGAUGAUGUAAUUUUUAAUGACUCAUUCGGCGCCUUACGGG
rnacentral:rRNA from 1 species